AUUUGAAUGAAGGCUCUCACUGCAGUGAAACCAUUGUCCUGUAAUCUACACAGAGCUUUGGCCGCUGACAAUACUCUAAGGAUUAAAAAAAGUUCCAGACACAAAGGGAAUGAAGCUUGAGAUACCCUAUCAAAAAGAGUGUUAUUCUCUGAAAAAAUGAUAUGUAUUCCACAAGCAGACGCGGACUACUCAGCCCCAGCCUUCUAAUCGUUGUUGGUUCGUUAGGAGAGACGGGGGACUGCAGUUGUUUCACGGGACGGUUGUGACGCCAUGAAUUGCUCCAAUCAGAAGCAAGCUAGAGUGCCAUCACUCAGUUGGCAGAUGCUCAGAUCAGGUCUCUGUCUGCCCGUGGAAGAGGAGCUGCCUGUGCCAAAGCCCUGAGAAUGUAUCUCCAAAAAUCGGUUUUUGUCCUAGGAUUUUCCCACCAAUUUUCUUUUCGUGAUACAUAGCAUG